rnacentral:rRNA from 1 species
GACACUGAGGCUCGAAAGCGUGGGUAGCAAACAGGAUUAGAUACCCUGGUAGUCCACGCCGUAAACGAUGUCUACUAGUCGUUGAGUCCCUUGAGGACUUAGUGACGCAGCUAACGCAAUAAGUAGACCGCCUGGGGAGUACGGCCGCAAGGUUAAAACUCAAAUGAAUUGACGGGGGCCCGCACAAGCGGUGGAGCAUGUGGUUUAAUUCGAUGCAACGCGAAGAACCUUACCUGGUCUUGACAUACACAGAAUCUUGUAGAGAUACGAGAGUGCCUUCGGGAAUUGUGAUACAGGUGCCGCAUGGCUGUCGUCAGCUCGUGUCGUGAGAUGUUGGGUUAAGUCCCGCAACGAGCGCAACCCUUGUCCUUAGUUACCAGCACUUCGGGUGGGAACUCUAAGGAUACUGCCAGUGACAAACUGGAGGAAGGCGGGGACGACGUCAAGUCAUCAUGGCCCUUACGACCAGGGCUACACACGUGCUACAAUGGUAGGUACAGAGGGCAGCUACACAGCGAUGUGAUGCGAAUCUCAAAAAGCCUAUCGUAGUCCAGAUUGGAGUCUGCAACUCGACUCCAUGAAGUAGGAAUCGCUAGUAAUCGCGGAUCAGAAUGCCGCGGUGAAUACGUUCCCGGGCCUUGUACACACCGCCCGUCACACCAUGGGAGUUGAUUGCACCAGAAGUGGUUAGCC